AUCUGCUCCGAACAACCAGUUUGUGGCCAAUUUUGGGACACUUUCCAAAUAUUCCCAGUAGUGAUGUAUUUUUGAUCGGCUCUUAUGUUGGCAGUCGAAAGCCUGCCAAUGUAGAUGAUUAUAUGAGCGAUUUCGUAUCUGAACUGGUAAAAAUGUCUGAGAGUCCUCUCCAAAUUGGCGACAAAAAUUUAUCUUUAAAAUUAACGCCUUUUUUUUUUUGGGUUUCGCGCGCGCAAAAAAUUUUUGUAAUCUAAACAAUUUUUUAAUCAACACAAAUGCCUUACAUGCCCAAGUAUAUUUCUUCUUGGUAAGAUAAAUCCUGUUAGUGUAUUUAUUAUAAUUUAACCUGCUAACGAAUUUCUUUUCUUUUUAUUUAUUUUUCGUCUAGCCUUAAAAGGUGUGUAUGUUUCUAACCUGUUAAAUAGAUAUACUCACAAUUUGAACCUACUUUUUGUUAAUUUUGGCAUCAAUGGAAAGGUAAUUUAAAUGCUGUUUGAAUGAUAUAAUACUUUGCCCAACCCAUUACCUUUCCAUUGAUGCCAAAAUUAACAAAAAGUAAGUUUAAAUUGUGGGUAUAUUUAACUUUUGUUUCGUCCUAAUACUUAUGCCGACUAGUGUACACUGAAAAAACAAUUGAAACACUUUAAAUUCAAAUAUAUCGAUAUUUGUUUUCAUUUUCUAUCGUUUUACAGAGUACAUAGUCUAUUACACGCUUGCUAUUACAAUUAUAAAUGCAGUAUUCAGUAAAUUAUAUACUUCCUUGAUCAGGAUCACUAUGCGAGUGAAUCUACCCAUCUCCGUUUGUCUGUUUGAACGCUGUAAUCUCGGACACUAUAAAAACUAGAACAUUGAGUACUCCUAUUAAGGUUCCUUAGCUUUCGAUUUAUCGAAAAAUUGUUUUCCAAAUUAGCUACUCACACUCUAACGCCCACAAAAAUGUGUAAAGUGAAAUUAUAAUAUCAAGCAAAAACAUCUCUUAACGAGGUUAAAAUAUAGUGACGAUCUCUUCUACAGCAAACAAAAGUUCAUAUAUCCACUUUUGUGACAAAAAUGUAUUAUACGAUCUACAUAAUAAAUACGUUUUCUUAAUAUUUUUACAUUAGCCACGCUUUAUGAAAAUUGUACAGCUAAACACAAGCAUAUUGAAUAGCAUCGUGGCUAAUGUAAAAAUAUUAAGAAAACGUAUUUAUUAUGUAGAUCGUAUAAUAAAUUUUUGUCACAAAAGUGGAUAUAUGAACUUUUGUUUGCUGUAGAAGAGAUCGUCACUAUAUUUUAACCUCGUUAAGAGAUGUUUUUGCUUGAUAUGUUUUGUAGCUGCAAUAGCAACGAUCUGCAAGAGUGUACAAACUUCGGCUUUCCAAAAUUAGCUGCCCUUCAUAAUUAACAUAGUUUUCUAACAUAUUUCUUCUUUUUUUUUUUGAGAAAAUGAGUUUCCAAUUGCACGAAAUGGAAAAUGUGCCAACGCCGGUGGAGGAGAGUAGGUCUGGUGGCCUGGAUGGGCGGAUCCAACGCCUGAAAGUAGUCCACGCGAUGAGCUCUGAGGUCAGCAAAAUGAGUACGGAUAUGGCGGAGUUGAAGUCCGUGAACUCGGCCAUUCUCGACUCCACGGCGCAAAUGUUGGCUCUCUGGAGGAAAAUGGCACCAGUAGAGCCAAUCCUAAAGGCCGACUUCCCCAUCCGGUCGAUAGACCAUUUAAAGGAGGUGGACGAAAAGAUUUACGGGAAAAUGGAAAAAUACUAUACAACGCAAUGUAGGAGAAGAUAAUUUUAUGGGGCUGGAAUCUUCUGGAAUGCUGUCAUUUACGACUGGGCAGUGCUACCAGCACAAAUACAAUUUUUAUUCCCACAGAUCUGCAACUAGUCGACAUAUUGACGAAGCCAUCUGCACGGUUUAUUUCCCUGAGAAACCAGCUGGGACUUUCUGAAUAAUCUAACUACGAACCUUGUGAACUGUUGCUGAAAAUCCAUCGCUUUUAGAAGCCAAACAUGAAAUGGA